UACGAAGGGGGCUAGCGUUGCUCGGAAUCACUGGGCGUAAAGCGCACGUAGGCGGCUUUCUAAGUCAGGGGUGAAAUCCUGGAGCUCAACUCCAGAACUGCCUUUGAUACUGGAGAGCUUGAGUCCGGGAGAGGUGAGUGGAACUCCGAGUGUAGAGGCGAAAUUCGUAGAUAUUCGGAAGAACACCAGUGGCGAAGGCGGCUCACUGGCCCGGUACUGACGCUGAGGUGCGAAAGCGUGGGGAGCAAACAGG
rnacentral:rRNA from 1 species